GCCAGAGAUCAGUCACAGACCACACUUGGCUGAGGUGGGAGGAUCGCUUGAGUCCAGGAGUUCUGGGCUGUAGCGCGCUAUGCCCAUCGGGUGUCUGCACUAAGUUCGGCAUCAAUAUGGUGACCUCCCAGGAGCGGGGGACCACCAGGUUGCCUAAGAAGGAGUGAACCGGCCCAGGUCAGAAACGGAGCAGGUCAAAACUCCCAUGCUGAUCAGUAGUGGGAUCGCGCCAGUGAAUAGCCACUGCACUCCAGCCUGGGUGACAGAGUGAGACCCCACCUCU
rnacentral:SRP_RNA from 1 species